rnacentral:sRNA from 1 species
GCCAGGCGUGGUGGUGAACGCCUGUAGUCCCAGCUACUCAGGAGGCUGAGGUGGGAGGAUCACUUGAACCUGGGAGGUCGAGGAUGCAGUGAGUGAUGACUGUGCCACUGCACUCUAGCCCAGGCAACAGAAUGAAACCCUGUCUCAA